rnacentral:rRNA from 1 species
GAGUUUGAUCCUGGCUCAGGAUGAACGCUAGCGGCAGGCUUAACACAUGCAAGUCGAACGGUAACAUUGGUGCUUGCACCAGAUGACGAGUGGCGAACGGGUGCGUAACGCGUAUACAACCUACCUCUUAUUAAGGAAUAGCUCAGAGAAAUUUGAAUUAAUACCUUAUAAUAUCAUAAAGUCGCAUGGCUUAAUGAUUAAAGAACUUCGAUAAGAGAUGGGUAUGCGUGAUAUUAGCUAGUUGGUAAGGUAACGGCUUACCAAGGCAACGAUAUCUAGGGGGUCUGAGAGGAUGAUCCCCCACACUGGUACUGAGACACGGACCAGACUCCUACGGGAGGCAGCAGUGAGGAAUAUUGGACAAUGGACGAAAGUCUGAUCCAGCCAUGCCGCGUGAAGGAUGAAUGCCCUAUGGGUUGUAAACUUCUUUUAUAUAGGAAGAAACCUCUGGAUUUAUCCAGAGCUGACAUUACUAUACGAAUAAGCAUCGGCUAACUCCGUGCCAGCAGCCGCGGUAAUACGGAGGAUGCAAGCGUUAUCCGGAUUUAUUGGGUUUAAAGGGUCCGUAGGCGGAAUUUUAAGUCAGUGGUGAAAGCCUGCAGCUCAACUGUAGAACUGCCAUUGAUACUGAAAUUCUUGAAUAUAUAUGAAGUGGGCGGAAUGCGUCAUGUAGCGGUGAAAUGCACAGAUAUGACGCAGAACACCAAUUGCGAAGGCAGCUUUCUGGAUCAUUACUGACACUGAGGAACGAAAGCAUGGGUAGCGAAGAGGAUUAGAUACCCUCGUAGUCCAUGCCGUAAACGAUGUGUGUUAGACGUUGGAAAUUUAUUUUCAGUGUCGCAGGGAAACCGAUAAACACACCGCCUGGGGAGUACGACCGCAAGGUUAAAACUCAAAUGAAUUGACGGGGACCCGCACAAGUAGUGGAGCAUGUGGUUUAAUUCGAAGAUACGCGCAGAACCUUACCAACACUUGACAUGUUCGUCGCGACUCUAAGAGAUUAGAGUUUUCGGUUCGGCCGGACGAAACACAGGUGCUGCAUGGCUGUCGUCAGCUCGUGUCGUGAGAUGUUGGGUUAAGUCCCGCAACGAGCGCAACCCUCACUUUUAGUUGCCAUCAUUAAGUUGGGCACUCUGAAAGAACUGCCAGUGAUAAGCUGGAGGAAGGUGGGGAUGACGUCAAGUCCUCAUGGCCCUUACGUGUUGGGCUACACACGUGCUACAAUGGUAUCUACAACAGGAAGCAAGACUGCGAAGUUAAGCAAAUCCCUAAAAGAUACCUCAGUUCGGAUUGCACUCUGCAACUCGAGUGCAUGAAGCUGGAAUUACUAGUAAUCGUGGAUCAGCGUGCCACGGUGAGUGCGUUCCCGGGUCUUGUACACACCGCCCGUCACACCAUGGGAGUUGGUUCUACCUUAAGGCAAGGUUUCAAACCCUUGACCACGGUAUAGUCAGCGACUGGGGUGAAGUCGUAACAAGGUAACC